rnacentral:rRNA from 1 species
GGCGGACGGGUGAGUAAUACUUAGGAAUCUGCCCAUUAGUGGGGGACAACUAGAAGAAAUUCUAGCUAAUACCGCAUACGCCCUACGGGGGAAAGCGGGGGAUCUUCGGACCUCGCGCUAAUGGAUGGGCCUAAGUCGGAUUAGCUUGUUGGUGAGGUAAAGGCUCACCAAGGCGACGAUCCGUAGCUGGUCUGAGAGGACGACCAGCCACACUGGGACUGAGACACGGCCCAG